AGUGGUGCCGGGGCUGGGGUCUAUUUUAGAGCUUCCGUGGUUAGAUGUCUGAGCCUUUCCAUUGCAGGCGACGCUGAGAGAAGACACGACCCCAAAAACUUUGAUUCCUGCAGUCUUGGGACAAAAUUUGCUGUGCCAGGUGUUUUGCCUAUCAUUUAUUCUUCGCAAGAAAUACCGGAAGCCACACUGUGUGGCAUGUGGGAUCUUAGUUCCCAGAUCUUUUCGAACCCUCACCCCCUGCAUUGGAAGGGUGGAGUCUUAACCACUGGACCGCCGGGGAAGUCCCAAGGAUAAGAACCACUUUAAAGAAACCCAACUUCCAGCAGCUUGGUAUAUGAACCUGAGUUUAAGUCCUAAGUCUGUUAGUCAGCCUACUGACCUCAGGCAACUCCAUUAAACUCUCUGGGCUUCAGUUUC